rnacentral:lncRNA from 13 species
CCUGGGCGGAAGGGAUGCCGGGAGACGCUGGGGCCAUCCAGGUCUCCAGAGGGAGACCAGGGCUGGAGCCCAGCUUCAUUGGGAGGCCCCGUGCUGAGGACGGGGGCCUGGGGGAAGAGGUGGAUUUGUGGGGACAGCAGCAGACACGAAAAGGCCUCCGAGACCAAGAGUGGGGAUGCCGGGUCCCAGCAAGUGAGGCAGGACUGCCAUGAGGUCUGCAGAGGGACCCACAGGAGCUGAACCCACCCCUCACAGCUGAACGUCCUUUGACGUGUGGGCCGAACGACUUCUUUGGGCCCUGUUGGGGUGUGGCCCACAGCAGGUGAGCAGUCAGGACCCCUUGGGGACCCUAAACAGCUCCUGUGUGGGCCCCGUGCUGGAGACAAGCUACAGCCUGGGUGCAUGGGGUCAGAGUGGGUGGUCAGUACGACACCUGCUGACUGGAGCAACCACGUGCCUGCCUGAGUGUGGGGCCUGGGAAGGCUCAUGGGGGUGUUGAAGCCACAUCACCUGGGGACCUCGGCAGCUUAGGCAGAAUGUCUACCGGGAUAUAUGUGGGCAUGUGUGUGAGAGUGUGUGCAGAGGCAUGCAUGUAUUUGUGCAUUCCUGUGGGUGAAUGUGCACCUGUACAUGUGUGAAUAUGCAUGCCAGUAUAUGUGCAUUGGUGUGUGUUCAGCUGUGUAUAUUCAGCUGUGUAUUUGUGUGUGUUUGCAACAGUGUGUGUGCAUGUCUGUCUCUGUAUGUGUUCAUGCGUGUUCACACCUGCAUGUGUGCGCCUGCCUGUGUGUACAUGUGUUUGGUUUGCCUGUGUGUGUGCACAUGCCUGUGUCUGUGCAUGUGUGCACACCCGUGUGUACUUCUAUGUGCUCAUGCCUGUGUGUGCAUGUUUGCACCUGUGUGUGUGCACCUGCCUGUGUAUACGCAUGUGUUUGGACCUGUGUGCCCAUGUGUUUGUGUGUGUGUGUGCACGUGCCUAUCUGUGUAUAUGCACGUUUGGACCUGUGUGCCCAUGUGUUUGUGUGUGUGUGUGCACG